rnacentral:rRNA from 1 species
AUGAGGCAGCACAUAACUGUGUUUGAUGCAUUCUUCAGGUUGAUCGAGGGUCGGAUAAUGGACUGCUACAUGCUUCCACUCUGCAUCUCUGUAGUUAUUUGGCUGAAGACAAGAAAAGUAGCUCAAACCUUCUACUGCCGCAUUCGCUGUAGUAGAGCAAUCGCUGCCUCAAACUUCAGAGAAGAUGGGCAUGAAUGGAUGUUUUGGUUGCAGGUUACACCAAGAACAAGUGCCUCAGAUUAUUCAUUUUUCAGGCAGCGGAAGGAUCACUCCCCCUCCACUCGCGUCGCUCACCUGAGGGCGACUCGAGGGUGCCCUCGCCCCGUCCGCCGUGACCACCCCUCUUCGGAUCUCACUGCCUCGACCAAAAUACAUUCAGAGAUUGCUGGAAGUGUUAUACUUCCUUCAUUUGGGGAGCACAAGACUUCAGUUGUCGAAGUGGCUACAACUAAUUGCAAGUAUAUAAACAAGGGAGUGUUCUAUGAUGUGACGUGA